ensembl:lincRNA
ACCCAUGCUGCAUGGGGGUGUAUGGUGCCGCUGCGUCAGGCCGGAUAUCUGCUGUCAGUGCUCAGAGCUCUGCGGUGCUGGCGGCGCUCUGCGUGGUUCUCACAUGGAGACCCUGCUUGUUGCAGGCCAGUUUUUCAUUACAGAGCUAUUCAGAUCAUCUGUUUCAUCCUGGAUGAGUUGUGGUAUUUUUCCACCAUCUUCCAGUGGCGCCAAGACUUCAUGUACAAUGGACCCUUGUGGAACACCCUACAAAAGGACAUCCAGCUUUCGGCUUUCGGCUAGGAGGAGGCUAAGGUGCAACUUGUCUGGAAUCCAGGUUUAUCUGACACCAGCCACAUCUGCCAUGCUGCCCAAGUUUGACCCCAACAAGAUCAAAGUCAUGUACCUGAGGUGCACUGGUGGUGAAGUCAGUGCCACGUCUGCCCUGGCUCCAAGACCAGUUCCUUGGGUCUGUCUCCAAAAAAAGUGGGUGAUAAUAUCGCCAAGGCAACUGGUGACUGGAAGAGUUGGAGGAUUAUGGUGACACUGACCAUUCAGAACAGACAGGCCCAGAUCGAGGCGGUGCCUUCUGCCUCUGCCCUGAUCAUCAAAGCCCUCAAGGAACUGCCAAGAGGCAGAAAGAAGCAGAAAAACAUUCAACACAAUGGAAAUAUCACUUUUGAUGAGAUAGUCAACAUUGCCUGACAGAUGUGGCAUUGGUCUUUAGCUGGAGAACUUUCUGGAACCAUUAAAGAAAUCCUGGGGACGCUCAGUCUGUGGGCUGCAAUGAGGACAGCCAGCACCCCCAUGACAAUAUAGGGUGCCACCGCUGACAUCAAAAACGGUGUUGUGGAGUUCUCUGCUAGCUAAGAAACAUAAAAUACUUCACUAAAAAGAUGAUCUGACAAAAAAACAACAACACGACAUCCAAACCACAGCAUUGCUCAUCUCAGUGACACUAGGAUAGAAAGGGAUGGUAGGCAGGUUAGGACAAGGGCCUGGGUAAACUGAGGUAAGCCUCAAGAAAUUAGAGUGUAAGUGACAGAGGACUAAUGAAAUCUGCGGACAGCAAGAAUAGCAGUGGCAGCCGCAUGCCUUCAUUUUCAUGUGCCCAUCAAGUCUGAAAAUGGCACCAGGUGGCCACAGCCAGUGACAAACUUCCCCUUGCACGUCCUCCAGAGGCUGCGCAUAAGGCCCUAGAUUCAGGCCCUUCCUCCGUGUCUGCCCUUGGAACUCCUCUCCACUAGCAAGAGCUUUUCUUUGUUCUUCCUAAUAAAGCAUACCCAGUUUGCUCCCUACUGCUGUCCUGUCGGCUUCAUUCUUCAUCCUCAUCAGGACAAGAGCUCAGAGGGAGAAGUUGCAUCAGGAUCGACAUUUCCCUCCCGAGGCAGUGCCGCCUUCCCCUUCCGGUCUAUGUGUCCAUCUGACCUUGGGGAAAUGUGGAAGGCUUUGAGGGCCAGGCCCUUGACAGGCAGACAAGUCUGCGUUCUAGGAUUCGUGUCUUAAUGUCACUGCAAGUCCCUUCCCCUCUCGGAACCUCAUUUACUCCACCCUAAACAGGAACUGUGACUUCAGACUUGCAGGACUGCUCAGAGAGCUAAAAAUACAUCAUUUCUUCCUUUGGGAGUGCUCACUUUUAUGCCUUUGCACUAACUAAUUUGUCAUCACGUGGGAGGUUUCCUGAAGGCUUCCAAAAACCUGUUGUGUAUUCAUUUCUUUACUCCCACCUUUAGCUGUCCUUAAAGUCCCCCAGAGAGAAGGUGCCGAGAUCUGAGACUCCUGAGAAACCCCUGAGAGGUUUCUGAGCCUGGGCAGAUAAGGCUGAGGCUUCCUGUAGGAUCCCAGGGGGAGAGAGAAUAAUAGGCUGGAGACACAAAGUUACUGUCAAAGUGGUGCAUUGUGACGUAAAUCUCCACUUCUAAGGGGGAGGACGUGUAGCUCCUUGAAUUUCUAAGUGCCCCCCUCCUCAUUCCAACCUCUUACGGAUGUCUCCACACUUCCAUGUGACAAAGGUAAUCAAAGAGAAGGUCUGUUUCCCAGCCUUGGGCCAAUCAGAAGUGUGUCAUGGAAUAAUAAAU